AAAAGUGCCUAAUUUUGAAUUUCAUAAAGAUUGUUAGGUUAAUUCUUAUCAAUUUAAAAACUACAGAUUUCCACCUCAAACCCCUACACUCUUUCCAUUCAUACACAUAUAUGACUAGCUACAAUUCCUAAAAUUCAUAUAAAAAAACAAAAUCAAUCAAUCACCGCAUUCAAACCAGUAGAGGAAUUAACAUCAAAUCGAAAUGAAUCCGAACCACUUCAAGUCGAACUGAAUCCGAAUCACUUCAAGUCGAACUGAAUCCGGUGCAAAGCAAAUUCUAAUUCAAAGGUUGUGAAUGGAGAUUUUGAAGAAAUCGAUUAUGAACUAGAGCAAACAGUGAGACAGAAAAAUCGAACGUUGUGAAGGAGUGUUUGAAGAAACGAACCUGAGCAAGGGCUUAUCAUACGGAGGAAGCUGUGAAAAAUCGUUGGCCGCAAAUGGAGUUUGAGCGUGGUGGAGCGUGAGAGUGCAUUUGGAAUCGAGGGUUGAGUUCUGUGUAGCUUGGGGAAGUUAGUAGAAUGUGUGAGUAUAGUCUGUUAUUUGAAAUAUCCAUGUUUAAA
rnacentral:lncRNA from 1 species